CUGUUCCUCUCCUACGGAGUUUACUAUGCUGGGUUGUGCACCCCUUUCUAGACGGUGGUGUGAAGCAACAGCUCCAUGCCCACCCACCAAGAUUUUCAUAUUUGAGGGAAAUCUACUUUAAGGCCAGAAUCAGUUUAGGACCAAUACCUCGUACUUAAAGGCUUGCUUUCAGUUCUGCUCUCCACGGGCUUGUUCUGUCAGCAACAGAAUAUUCUUAUGGCUUCAGCACCUCCUUCAUUUUAGCCAUUCCUCACAGACAAUGGCAACUGGGGGUGAAUGGGACAAAAGGACAAGUAAGGGGGGGCAAUGAAAAGGAGGAGGCACAUUAAUACAACUCAAGGUGUUAAUUCCCAGGAAAUAAGCGAAUUUCCCAGAAUAAGAAUCUUGAUUUUUCUAUAUGACCAAUGGGCACACAUCACUUUUCAAGGCCAGUUUGUGGAGUCUUUUCUUGACGAUGUCACAUUGAGGUAGGAUGCAUUCUGGGCUGAGAGGAACGGUGGAAUCAUGACAGAGAUCUUCAGUGCUCGUUGGCUCUCAGAUAUUGGUGCCCAUAGCCCUGCACCGUUGUCUGUGGUCUGCCUGGUAGCCAGGUCAAAGCAGGGGCCACUAUGUCCAUUAUCAAUCUCUAUUGUCAAGGCUUCCCAGCACAUCUGUGUUCCCUUGGUGCUAUGCAAACCUUGGCCGUGCCACCCUGAGUUGAUAGGGAUUUCAGGAGAUCACCCAGGACCAUCUGCUACUUCCACUAUGGCUCUAGGGUAUGCGUGGGCUUCUCCAAGAGGCUUGCACCCUUGUGGUCAGCUUUACACCCUUUAGCUUCGCUUAUUUAUUAAGCCAAAACCUUGGGUUAUCAAUGACUAUUCCAAUUGCUAUAUAGUUUUUAUAGCUCCCUCAGGCAUUCAGAUGGAUCUCUCUCCCUAUCCUUGUAUAGAGGAAGCUCGGAGAUGAAGAGAAGGGACUGUGAUGGGCUUUGAGGCAGACGGAGACAGGUGUUGUUUGUAACGGUUCUGAAAAGUAAGCAAGAGACCCCAAUUUGGGCUUAAUUAUGGCAACGGGAAUCUUUCAAGAGGACACUAGGCAGCUGAGAGAACCAGAUGGCGGUCAACAGCACAAGCAAGGACUCCAACUAUAGCACAGACCUGGCCUAACUCGUACUUCAGCACCUCCACUCAACAUUCUUGCUUCUUCCGUCUCCAGAGCUGGGCCCAGUGGCUACACUGUCCGUGCGACCACUACGGUCCAUCCUACCAUCGAUUUCCUUCCGAGUCAGUUGCUGAAGUUUGAGCCCGGAUGCAAGGCAUUCUGGGAGAAGGAUUUGUUGGUGGACAUACUACCUCUUGGAGGGUUGCUUUGACUCUACACUAAGACUGCCACACAUAGACACUUGCACCAGCACCGGCACCAGCACCGGCACCAGCAUCGGCACCAGCAUCGGCACCAGCGUGAGUACCAGUACCAGUACCAGGAUCAGCACCAGCACCACCGAUAGUGGUGGCGGCAGCAGUGGUGAUUCCCCAAGCAAAGAACAGGGUUCAAAUGUUGAGAAAUGAAGUAAUUGCAAGGGUUCUCUUUCCCCAUAAGAUACUCAGGAUGAGGUUGCCAAGGAGGUUCUCUGGGAGUCUGCAAGAUGCUCCACUCAAAGAUCCAAACCAAGUGACAAGUGGGACUGACAAGUGACAGUCACAGCGAUUCGGCAACAAGGAGGAAGAACAUAGGCAUGACCAGGGUCAAAGGCAGCACGAGGAAAGAGCCUACUGAGGCGGCUGGGAUGCAAAGUGACACAGACUAGAUUCUGCCACACUCAGUUCGCACCCAGAGGCAGCAAGAAGGAGCUCAACUCUCAGAUGUGACUGUCAGUGCCAGACAAGCUGCCAUCCGUUGCACCAGGAAAGACAGGUAGGGAGAGCAAGGGCUGGCGAAGGGAAGAGCCCCAGGUGGACCAUGAAGGCAGCCAGCGCCCUGUUAGCUCCCAUCGAGACCUUUUAGCCUCUUUUGCACCUAAAAGUCAUGUCCCCCAGGGAAGCAAUUAGUACUGUGUGUGUGUGUUGGGGGUGGGGGUGCCAGCCAGCAGAUGUCAAAGUAGACACAGACAGGAAGAGAAGCAAGUAUUUCCACACGCUGUGCUUAUGAUUUCCUGUUAUUGGGGUUGCUCUGGUCAGCCUGGCUGGGUGGCUCUUCCUGCCCUUUCCUGAAUCUUCAACCCUUCUGUGUCUUCUGUUACCCUGCUCAUGGAUGCCUCAGACUUCCUUGGAUUAGAAACAAACGGCCACAAUUUGGGUGAUUGUUAGGAGCCAUUCAAAGAGAUGUCCAUUGCAUUUAACACACAAACAGGGUCAAAACGAAGGCCGGGUAAAUGUCCAGGAUAUUCAGCUGGAAACGACAUCCUGCCCUGGAACACAAAUGUCAUGUGCCCCAGGCCCUGACACAGGCAAAUCACCCCACAGCAUUCACUCCCUGAAACUCCAAAUUCCCCACACUCAGUGGCCAGUUAUGGCCUCAGACACAACCCAUGGCACUUGGAAAGGGCAAACUAUUCAGGAGACCUGAGUGUCACAAGUCAAUGGGAAACACAGGGGCUGUAUCAACGACCUAAUCUCUUUCUCCUGAAGAACAACUCAGAUUAAAAUGCAUCAUUUCUGAAACCUUGAGAAGAACCUGCUCUGUGAAUUCUUUCAAAGGUCACCUUAAUAAUCCAAACCAGCCCUGUAACCAAGAAAGUAUUUUAGCCUGGGAUGGUUACAAACACCCCCAGGCAGGUGCUGGUUGCUUGGGGUAAGGCACACAGUUUUAGUGCCUUAGUUUUGGCAGAGGCCACUUGUUUGUUCCCGGCCGCUUAGACAAGAAAUAAUCACACAGAAACUAUAUUACAGAAACUAAUUACAGAAAGUAUAUUGCCAAUAUUGUUUGGCCAAUAGCUUAAGUGUAUUGCUAACUAGCUCUUAUAUCCUAAACUAACCCAUCUCCAUUAAUCUGUGCAUCACCACAAGGUUGUGGCCUACGGGCAAAGUUUCUGUGAGCUCUAGCGGAGGCUAUGACUCUGCCUACUCUCUCUCU